rnacentral:lncRNA from 1 species
GCAGCUUGCUACACAGAAAGCCAGAGACCGAGAGCCAAUGACUGAGACUAUGAGUAUUGCCAAGGAAGAAGGCUUUAAUCGGGUGCUGCAGCUGAAAAGAUGAGAGCUCAGCCUCAAAUCCAUCUCCCUGACCAACUAAAGCUAAGGAUUUAUAUAGCAGGGAAGAAGACAGGAACUAGGAAGGGGCAAGGAAGCGAUCCUGAUGAAUGAAGGGUCAGGCAUUUCAUUGUCUGGAUGUGGCGAUCUGGGAGAGAAGAGAGGAAGGCAGAGAAGGCCUGAACAAGCCUGGCUGGGGAGGGCUCCCAGAGUCCUUGUGACAGAGAUGACUCUACCCACACUUGGGAGACUGAUGUGUCAGGAAAGCAUGCACAGCCAGUUAGGAAAGAAAUUACUCAGAGGCCCGGCCGCCCAUCGUCUGAGAUGUGGGGAGCGCCUCUGCCC